rnacentral:rRNA from 1 species
CAGUACCGCGGUAAUACGUAGGGUGCGAGCGUUAAUCGGAAUUACUGGGCGUAAAGCGUGCGCAGGCGGUUAUAUAAGACAGAUGUGAAAUCCCCGGGCUCAACCUGGGACCUGCAUUUGUGACUGUAUAGCUAGAGUACGGUAGAGGGGGAUGGAAUUCCGCGUGUAGCAGUGAAAUGCGUAGAUAUGCGGAGGAACACCGAUGGCGAAGGCAAUCCCCUGGACCUGUACUGACGCUCAUGCACGAAAGCGUGGGGAGCAAACAGGAUUAGAUACCCCAGUAGUCCCUGUCUCUUAUACC